rnacentral:rRNA from 1 species
UGCAAACAAAGGCUGGCGACCGGCGCACGGGUGAGUAACACGAUUCCAACCUGCCUCAUACUCGGGGAUAGCCUUUCGAAAGAAAGAUUAAUAUCCGAUAGCAUAUAUUUCCCGCAUGGGUUUUAUAUUAAAGAAAUUCGGUAUGAGAUGGGGAUGCGUUCCAUUAGUUUGUUGGCGGGGUAACGGCCCACCAAGACUACGAUGGAUAGGGGUUCUGAGAGGAAGGUCCCCCACAUUGGAACUGAGACACGGUCCAAACUCCUACGGGAGGCAGCAGUGAGGAAUAUUGGUCAAUGGACGCGAGUCUGAACCAGCCAAGUAGCGUGAAGGAUGACUGCCCUAUGGGUUGUAAACUUCUUUUAUAUGGGAAUAAAGUGGUCCACGUGUGGAUUUUUGUAUGUACCAUAUGAAUAAGGAUCGGCUAACUCCGUGCCAGCAGCCGCGGUAAUACGGAGGAUCCGAGCGUUAUCCGGAUUUAUUGGGUUUAAAGGGAGCGUAGGCGGAUUGUUAAGUCAGUUGUGAAAGUUUGCGGCUCAACCGUAAAAUUGCAGUUGAUACUGGCAGUCUUGAGUGCAGUAGAGGUGGGCGGAAUUCGUGGUGUAGCGGUGAAAUGCUUAGAUAUCACGAAGAACUCCGAUUGCGAAGGCAGCUCACUGGAGUGUAACUGACGCUGAUGCUCGAAAGUGUGGGUAUCAAACAGGAUUAGAUACCCUGGUAGUCCACACAGUAAACGAUGAAUACUCGCUGUUUGCGAUAUACAGUAAGCGGCCAAGCGAAAGCAUUAAGUAUUCCACCUGGGGAGUAC